GACCACUUCUCCAGCAGCUUACAUAAUGUUGGUGAAUUCAGCUUUUCUGGGGUUGUGCUGGUUAUACCAACCUUAUCUCAGCUACCUGAAGGAUUGUCGUGCUGGAGAAGACAUGUGUGGAGACCCACCUGACCAAAGCUCAACUUCAUGAACAUAAGAGCUGGAGGAACUGCCUC
ensembl:lincRNA